GCACUAGUAGCUCAGUACCAGAGCAUCGGUCUUGUAAACCGAACGUCGGGGGUGGAACUCCCCCCUACUGCU
rnacentral:tRNA from 1 species